CAGCCGCCGCGGUAAUACGUAGGUGGCAAGCGUUGUCCGGAAUUAUUGGGCGUAAAGGGCUCGCAGGCGGUUUCUUAAGUCUGAUGUGAAAGCCCCCGGCUCAACCGGGGAGGGUCAUUGGAAACUGGGAAACUUGAGUGCAGAAGAGGAGAGUGGAAUUCCACGUGUAGCGGUGAAAUGCGUAGAGAUGUGGAGGAACACCAGUGGCGAAGGCGACUCUCUGGUCUGUAACUGACGCUGAGGAGCGAAAGCGUGGGGAGCAAACAGGAUUAGAUACCCCGUAGUCCCUGUCUCUUAUACA
rnacentral:rRNA from 1 species